rnacentral:lncRNA from 1 species
GGUAUGGACAAGGUUCUGACCCUUAUUAUUGGAACUCAAAUCCAGAUGGAGUUUGUUGGGACUUCACAUCAUUGGAAGGUGAAUAGAAAAGUAUGUCUUAAGAAUUUCACCAUGUUUUGGAAGAAUUGCAGCAAGAAAAAAAGAACUCCUUUGUUUCCACCCCAUUUCUUUUAAGGAAAACCUGGAAUAUCUGAGGGUGCAAGCUGAGAAAGGUCUGCUUAUCUGUUCCCUACUCUGGCAAUCAAAAAGGAUCCAAGUCUACUGUUCUCUUCUCCUGGCACUCUUAACUUGCACACACUGCAACCUUUUAUGGCAAAGUAAUGGUCAAGCUAUCCUAACAAGGAUGAGCCCUUAUUAAAUAAUUCACUGUGGUUGGGAAAUGGUGAGGAAGCCAUCUUCUUUUGUCUUCUUUUCUCUGAAAAUAAAAUUUUGUCUAAUUUUGUAUUAAGGACAUUUGGGCUUCACUUUAUUACAUUCUCUACUUUCUUUAAUAGCUCGAAGCUCAUGACAGUACAUGUCUGGUCUUGCAAAACAAGAUGAAUUUGUUAAAUUAAACUUUU